CGGGCUGUACAGGCUUGGGUUUUUCGAUGGUUUCCCCAAGCCCUGUGCUACCGGUGGGGCACAGGCAAAUGCGUGCAGUUUCCCCAAAGUCGGCCUGAUCUGAAGAGCGC